GGCGCCGCUCUUAGAGAGCUUGAGUCCUCGGGCCCGUCCGUGGCUAGGGGUUUUUAAACCAAAGGGAGGUUAGCGAUUACGGCAAAAAUAAUACUUUACUCUGAGCUGGAACUUCUUACCAGCGAAUCUAAGCACUGUGCGUAGGGAUGGGGAAUCCAAGAUAGGUUAUGUUAGCCAGGAGCAUAGGCAAGGUGAAGCAUUACGCCUGGCCAGCAGUCCUGUCUUGCUGUGGGGGCUGUGAGGGAGUUCUGGAGGUGUUUAUAAAUGUGUGGGCAACAUUAAGAAAUGGGCAGUGGGCCUGUGGUUAUGGGCUGAUUUGAAUUAGCAGGUGACACCUCAGCAACAUACGCACAAUUAUUUUGUUUUUCAGGUGGCAAAUGGAGGACUACAGAGACACUUGACAAGGCAGUUUUCAUAAUUAAAGUACAAGAAUAAGAAAGAAUCCUUGUGACAGCAUUGCCGAUAGGUGUGGACAAAGCUGUCUGCACUAAGAUGAAGGAAAAAUAUUCUGAUGUUUUCAUUCCAGAAAGCAAAAUGUCAGCAGCCAGCCUGGGUGGGCCAUACCAGGUGCCAGACAGGGGCCAGAGGGAUCCCAGCAAAGGCCCUGCCUUGAAAAUGGAGCCUGGAGGAUGGACAAGGCCGUAAGGAAAGUGACAGUGUUGUCUGCAGCAGCCUUAAGGCUUUUAGCAAUGGCAAAUCCUUUUUUUUUUUUCAGAUGAUAUGCACUUAGUAGCAGUAUAGCCAACUAGCUCAGAUUUGAUAGCUUACAGAGCUAAGAGUUUGUUAACAUUUCAUUGAUAAAGGAUAAGAAGGGAAAAUUGUGUUCCCAGAAAUUAAGUAAAUGGGAGGCUAGGACCUUGAAGAAAGGUAAACAGGGGAGAAAAGAAUGAGAGGGAGAAGUGUGGCCUUCUCUGCGAAGAUAUAAGGCCAUUGCUGCUUCUGUACCUGACUCAAAUACCCAGCUCAACCAUUGGCAAAAGAAGUGGAAAGCUUCACCAAGGACUUCAGGGAACGAGAUAACUGGUGCUGGGGAGCCAUAGAGAGGCAAGCAAAACGGAGUGAAUGUUUUAGUGAACAUGUGUCAAAUAGUAUUGGUGAGUAUGGGGGCUACAGCCAUUCAAUAAUGUCUCCCAUCUCUGCUGUUGCUGUUUUUUCCAUUAUCUCAGCUGGGAAUCAGAUUCUCUGUACUGGAAGAUGAAGGGGAAGAUGCUUCAAAACUAGACCCUCCUUGCAUAUGCGAAAGGACAUAUGCCACGCUGGCUGGCUGAUGCUGCAGAGAGAAGGGAAUGAAGGUGGGGGAAAAUUAGAGUCCUUUGAGUCUGCUUGUUUCCUUCCAACCCUCGGAGAGUGUGUUUAUUCUGAAUUAUGGAUCAUAUUUUUUGUGAACCAUGGAACUCUGGAGUUACACUGUCUGUAGUUACACUACCUGCUUGCUGUGGUGGUUCAUCUGUCAGGAUGGAAAAGGUGAACCAUACAUUCAGAAAGAAUGUUUUAAUUAUAUUCCUGGUGUGAACUGUGGGCCAAAUUUCAAAUCUAGAGGGAGAGAGGUCAGCUGUGUUUGUAGGUCCAAAGAUUACGUGCAAGAAAUCAAGCAUUUAGACAAACAACCAAGAGAUCAGGAAUUCAUGGAUUUGUUGCCGCACAGUUAUUUAUUCAGCUAAGAUUUUCUUGCAUAACUUCAAGUAGUGUUAUGAAUACUAGAGUUUCCUGGCAUGUACCCACAGAAGUAAGUAUUAAUGUGUGAUUAAUUCUUAAGUUUAGUAUAGCGAUACCUCUCAAGUAGUUAUUUGUUUUUAAAAGAAAAAAAAAAUUACAUUUAACUGGGUAGGAAACCAAAUCUCUCCAUUACCGGGGCCUUGUUCCCCAGCCUUGUGACAAGCUCCCAAGUUAAUACAUUUUAGUCACCACAGGCAUAUUUUGUCAAAACUUCUGAAGAAUGCUGACCCAGGAUAAGCUGAAGAAGAAAAACCGACGUAAGGCAUUGAACUAAUUGUGCAAUGCUUUAUAUGGAAAACUGACUUCCUGAUGCCAGCGUUAGUAGGUGGUUCUUUCAAGCAUGGUGUUUAGCGAUCUACAUUUGGUUCUUCCAGAUAUAAAUAUUUUGCAUAUAAAUAUAACUUGUUUUAUCCACGUAUAUUAACUAUUGUAUUCAAUGCCACUUCUCUCUUUUUACCUAAUAUUUUUCAACACAGAUGAUGCUCAUAUAUACUUUUAGAUUUCUUAUUGCUUAAAAUGUCAUCCACCAGCUCAUAGGUAUUUACUUUGUGAACUCUUGUUCUAGAGAACCUAGCUGGAAAGUUGUGCAAUGAGCUUCUAACAUAGGGAGCUUAGUGAGCUGACUGAAAUGCAAGCCGUAAACAGACGGAUGUGUAAAAAUAGCUUUAAGUCCAUAAGUUUGGGAACAUUUUUGCAGCUUCAAGAAUCUUAGAUUUGAUAAGCAACAUAAACUAUCCAUUGCAUAUUUGAUUAUUUCUGAAUAGGUAAAGCUAAAAUCAAGUUUACCUCAGAGUGUUCUGUCAUAACUCUAGGAAAAUGGCAUUUGAUGCAAACUUGUGUUAACAAAAACAAACCACAAAAUCCAUUUUUCUAGAGUAGGGUGAAUGACCGCUCUUACAUCAAAAGUACAUAUAUAUAUUGGAGCCAAAGAUGUUUCCCAUGAUGGAAACAUCCUGGAGCCUUGCAGGCAGGUAGACCCUGCCCUCCUUCUGAAGGAACUCAGAGGAGGUUUGGAAAAGAUGCAAAGAUCUUUGGGCACAAACAUCCCUGUGGGUUCAACACACUUGAUUUUCCAGAGGAGUGAAUUUUGUAACUCCAGAGGCUAGUGGGGGACUUCAGAGGGAUUUUAUCAUGCCCCCUGUUUGUACUCCUAUUUAAGACCACCUAUUAUUUCAGUUAGCUUGCAAACUAAUAAUGCUGCUAAGUUAAGCAUCAAUCUAAUUCCAUCAUCUUUAUAACUUUAUUUUUCUGGAGGCAAGAAAAGAGAUAAAUACAGUGAAUGAAGUGUAUGGAUGUCCUACAGAAUGGAUCUGUAUCUGUUACAAGACAUUAACCAUGACAAUCUACAGAUUAUCCAAUUCUUGUUAUUUUAGGUCAACAACAAAAUGUGACUUUGCCAAAUGCAGAUUCAGUUCCUGGGGUGUUCAAUACAGUGACACAUAUCACGGCAUUUCAGAAUUUGCUGUGUACAGAAGCACCGCAAAAAGUUUUUUCACUUAGGUAGAGAAUAACAGAAAAAACCCAAAUGGGAAGUUUUUCUAUACUGUCUUGGAUGACAAGGUUAAGCAGAGAAUCUGUUAACACACACACACACAAAAAAAAAAAAAAACAGUGACAAUUUAAAUAAAUCAGAUGUUUUUGCUGAAGAUUAUGCUGUCAUUUUCUCCAAUUAUUCUUGACAUUUCACCCAAUCGUAUUGUGAUCUGAGUUAAUAAUGGAAGAAAAAGAACGGCUCUCGUUGCCUUGUUUAUUCUUUGUUCUCAAGGAGAUAAGCUGUUUAUAAGGAUAUUUGUUAUUUAAAUCACUUUUACUGAAGUUGUUUGUUUCCUUGUUUGAGAUUCUAAAAAUAUUGCAACAAUUGUGAUGCAUCUUUGAAACGCCUAUUCACUUCACUAUGAUUUGUACUGAAAUUCAUUCCUAAAUGGGCACAGGUGUUGAUAGCUAGAAUGAGUCAAAACCAAUAAGUGCUCAAUAAAGGGAAGAUGAAAGAAAA